CUUUAUUCCCUUCAUUUUCUCUCUGCAGGAAAAAAAAAAUCAUCCCUUUUCAUAUUAGAAAGAUUAUAGCAAAACCCAGAAAUUGAAAAAUCUUGUUCACAUUUCUUUGAUUAAUAUUACCAUGAAGAGAAGUUUUUAUGAAGCAGAGGUUGAUAGCAUAACCAUGGCGAAUUGCUUGAUGCUUCUAUCCCAAGGGAGGGAAACUCAAUUUCCUUCCUUUGAAGCUUUGAAAAAUAGUGAUGUUAUUAAUUCUCCUAGUCGUGUUUUUGAGUGCAAGACAUGUAACAGGCAGUUUCCUUCCUUUCAAGCCCUAGGCGGUCACCGUGCCAGCCACAAGAAGCCUAGGUUGAUGAGCAGCGGUGGAGAUGGAAGCUCAGAGACUCAGUCAUCUUCCCCGGCGGCUAAACCUAAGACCCAUGAAUGCUCUAUUUGUGGGCUAGAGUUUGCUAUAGGGCAAGCCUUGGGAGGUCACAUGAGGAGGCAUAGAGCUGCCUUGAAUGAUCAAAGCUUGCAGCAGGUUCUUGAUGAUCAUCCUACGACGAGUAGUACUGCACAAGUGGCGGUGCCUCCUAUUGUGAGCAGAAGGGCUUUUUGCUUGGAUUUGAACUUGACUCCUUAUGAGAAUGAUUUGGAGUUGUUUAGGCAUGGCAAGGCACCUCCUAAUCCUAAGGUUAUUGACUGUUUCUUUUAGAUUAUCAUCUCUUAAUUACAUGUAAAUUAAUCUCAGAAAUACAUCUUAAUUAUAGCUAGCUGGAGAUUUAAUUUUCAAUUUCCUUUUCAUACCCU
rnacentral:misc_RNA from 1 species